UACGGAGGAGGCAAGCGUUAUCCGGAAUUAUUGGGCGUAAAGCGUCCGUAGGUGGCUCUUCAAGUCUGCUGUCAAAGAGUGGGGCUUAACCCUGCAAAGGCAGUGGAAACUGAAAGGCUAGAGAGCCGUAGGGGUAGAGGGAAUUCCCGGCGUAGCGGUGAAAUGCGUAGAGAUCGGGAAGAACAUCGGUGGCGAAAGCGCUCUACUGGACGGUAUCUGACACUGAGGGACGAAAGCUAGGGGAGCGAAUGGG
rnacentral:rRNA from 1 species